UGUGAGCAUUGAGGAAUUUAUUGAGAAGAAUUAGGUAAAAGUUGGCCUUAAGGAGCCUGGAGGAAACAUCUCAGAAGCAGAUGGAAGGAGAAGUGUUUAGUAUGCAGCCACUGUAACCAAGGACUGUCAGAAUCAUCACAGUGGGACUGCAGUGUAUGCCCUUGGCCCACUUCGCAGUCUUUGUUUAUUGAGAAUACCAUUUCCUUUCUCUGAUCUCUUUGGUUAAUUUCUUUAUGCAGCUGGGCUUCUGUUCCUGGAUGAUUUCCAGGUACCUGAGAAUUUAGAGCUGCAGUGGUGCCAUUUGACUCAAGCCUGGCAAGAUGUUGACACUUCCAAACCUCCAGUCGUCAGUGAAUAAAGUUCCAGGUCUCUAAGUUCAAAUAUCUUUUUCCACAUGCCAAACCUCUGGGGAUGGUGUGCUCACGAUCCUGUGGUGUAAAUGGUAGCCAUAGGUAUGUUAAGAGGGGAGCUUUUCUUAGACAGUGGGCAGGGUUAGAAAUGAGGCAAUGAUUGACAUACAAUGAAAUGACAAAGGCUUGGUAAAGCCAUGAAA
ensembl:lincRNA uncharacterized LOC110338637